rnacentral:lncRNA from 1 species
AUGGUAUGGACCUUACAGAAGCAGAAGAUAUUUAAAAAAAAGUGGCAAGAAUACACAGAAGAACUGUACAGAAAAGAUCUUCAUGACCCAGAUAAUCACAAUGGUGUGAUCACUCCCCUAGAGCCAGACAUCCUGGAAUGUGAAGUCAAGUGGGCCUUAGGAAGCAUCACUAUGAACAAAGCUAGUGGAGGUGAUGGAAUUCCAGUUGAGCUAAUUCAAAUCCUGAAAGAUGAUGCUAUGAAAGUGCUGCACUCAAUAUGCCAGCAAAUUUGGAAAACUCAGCAGUGGCCACAGGACUGGAAAAGGUCAAUUUUCAUUCCCAUCCCAAAGAAAGGCAAUGCCAAAGAAUGCUCAAACUACCACACAAUUGCACUCAUCUCACAUGCUAGUAAAGGAAUGCUCAAAAUUCUCCAAGCCACGCUUCAACAGUACGUGAACUGUGAACUUCCAGAUGUUCAAGCUGGUUUUAGAAAAGGCAGAGGAACCAGAGAUCAAAUUGCCAACAUCCACUGGAUCAUGGAGAAAGCAAGAGAGUUCCAGAAAAACAUCUACUUCUGCUUUAUUGAUUAUGCCAAAGCCUUUGACUGUGUGGAUCACAAGAAACUGUGGAAAAUUCUGAAAGAGAUGGGAAUACCAGACCACCUGACCUGCCUCUUGAGAAAUCUGUAUGCAGGUCAGGAAGCAACAGUUAGAACUGGACAUGGAACAACAGCCUGGUUCCAAAUAGGAAAAGGAGUACAUCAAGGCUGUAUAUUGUCACCCUGCCUAUUUAACUUAUAUGCAGAGUACAUCCUAAGAAAUGCUGGGCUGGAAGAAAUGCAAGCUAGAAUCAAGACUGCUGGGAGAAAUAUCAAUAACCUCAGAUAUGCAGAUGACACCACCCUUAUGGCAGAAAGUGAAGAGGAACGAAAAAGCCUCUUGAAGAAAGUGAAAGAGGAGAGUGAAAAAGUUGGCUUAAAGCUCAAUAUUCAGAAAACGAAGAUCAUGGCAUCUGGUCCCAUCACUUCAUGGCAAAUAGAUGGGGAAACAGUGGAAACAGUGUCAGACUUUAUUUUUUUGGGCUCCCAAAUCACUGCGGAUGGUGAUUGCAGCCAUGAUAUUAAAAGAUGUUUACUCCUUGGAAGGAAAGUUAUGACCAACCUAGAUAGCAUAUUCAAAAGCAGAGACAUUACUCUGUCAACAAAGGUCCGUCUAGUCAAGGCUAUGGUUUUACCAGUGGUCAUAUAUGGAUGUGAGAAUUGGACUAUAAAGAAAGCUGAGCGCCUAAGAACUGAUGCUUUUGAACUGUGGUGUUGGAGAAGACUCUUGAGAGUCCCUUGGACUGCAAGGAGAUCCAACCAGUCCAUCCUAAAGGAGAUCAGUCCUGGGUGUUCAUUGGAAGGACUCACAUUGAAGCUGAAAUUCCAAUACUUUGGCCACCUCAUGCGAAGAGUUAACUCAUUGGAAAAGACCCUGAUGCUGGGGAAGAUUGAGGGCAGGAGGAGAAGGAGACAACAGAGGAUGAGAUGGUUGGAUGGCAUCACCGACUCAAUGAACAUGGGUUUGGGUGGACUCUGGGAGUUGGUGAUGGACAGGGAGGCCUGGCAUGCUGUGGUUCAUGGGCUCACCGAAGUGUUGGACACGACUGAGCGACUGAACUGA